AACUUUCAACAAAGGAUCACUUGGCUCUCGCAUCGAUGAAGAACGCAGCGAAAUGCGAUAAGUAAUGUGAAUUGCAGAAUUCAGUGAAUCAUCGAAUCGUUGAACGCACCUUGCGCUCCUUGGUAUUCCGAGGAGCAUGCCUGUUUGAGUGUCAUGAAAUUCUCAACCUCUCUAGUUUUUUCGACCAGUUAGGCUUGGAUUUGGAAGUUGCUGGCUCGUUCAGCUCUUCUUAAAUAUAUUAGCAAAGAUCUUUGCUGCUCAUCAUUGGUAUGAUAAUUAUCUAUAUCAUUGAUAAACAGUGUCCUUCACGGGAGAGCUCUUGCUUCUAAUCGUCUUUCAAAGACAAUUUGACAACUUUUGACCUCAAAUCAGGUAGGACUACCCGCUGAACUUAAGCAUAUCAAUAAGCGGAGGAU
rnacentral:misc_RNA from 1 species